rnacentral:rRNA from 1 species
GACGAACGCUGGCGGCGUGCUUAACACAUGCAAGUCGAGCGGAAAGGCCACUUCGGUGGUACUCGAGCGGCGAACGGGUGAGUAACACGUGAGUAAUCUGCCCUUCACUUCGGGAUAGCCCUGGGAAACUGGGAUUAAUACCGGAUACGACCGGCGCCUGCAUGGGUUGUUGGUGGAAAGUUUUUUCGGUGGAGGAUGUGCUCGCGGCCUAUCAGCUUGUUGGUGGGGUAAUGGCCUACCAAGGCUUCGACGGGUAGCCGGCCUGAGAGGGUGACCGGCCACACUGGGACUGAGACACGGCCCAGACUCCUACGGGAGGCAGCAGUGGGGAAUAUUGGACAAUGGGCGGAAGCCUGAUCCAGCAACGCCGCGUGAGGGAUGACGGCCUUCGGGUUGUAAACCUCUUUCAGCGGGGACGAAGCGCAAGUGACGGUACCCGCAGAAGAAGCACCGGCCAACUACGUGCCAGCAGCCGCGGUAAUACGUAGGGUGCGAGCGUUGUCCGGAAUUAUUGGGCGUAAAGGGCUCGUAGGCGGUUUGUCGCGUCGGGAGUGAAAACCAUGGGCUUAACUCAUGGCUUGCUUCCGAUACGGGCAGACUAGAGGCAUGCAGGGGAGAACGGAAUUCCUGGUGUAGCGGUGAAAUGCGCAGAUAUCAGGAGGAACACCGGUGGCGAAAGGCGGUUCUCUGGGCAUGUCCUGACGCUGAGGAGCGAAAGUGUGGGGAGCGAACAGGAUUAGAUACCCUGGUAGUCCACACCGUAAACGUUGGGCGCUAGGUGUGGGAUCCAUUCCACGGGUUCCGUGCCGCAGCUAACGCAUUAAGCGCCC